rnacentral:rRNA from 1 species
GAUGAACGCUGGCGGUCUGCUUAACACAUGCAAGUCGAACGGAAUCUUUCGGGAUUUAGUGGCGGACGGGUGAGUAACGCGUGAGAAUCUGCUUUCAGGUUCGGGACAACAGCUGGAAACGGCUGCUAAUACCGGAUGUGCCGAGAGGUGAAAGCUUAAGUGCCUGGAGAUGAGCUCGCGUCUGAUUAGCUAGUAGGAGUGGUAACGGCACCCCUAGGCGACGAUCAGUAGCUGGUCUGAGAGGAUGAUCAGCCACACUGGGACUGAGACACGGCCCAGACUCCUACGGGAGGCAGCAGUGGGGAAUUUUCCGCAAUGGGCGCAAGCCUGACGGAGCAAGACCGCGUGAGGGAAGAAGGUCUGUGGAUUGUAAACCUCUUUUGAUAGGGAAGAAGACAGUGACGGUACCUAUCGAAUCAGCCUCGGCUAACUCCGUGCCAGCAGCCGCGGUAAUACGGAGGAGGCAAGCGUUAUCCGGAAUUAUUGGGCGUAAAGAGUCCGUAGGUGGGUAACCAAGUCAGCUGUUAAAUAGUGAAGCUUAACUUCAUAGAGGCGGCUGAAACUGGUUGUCUAGAGUGUGGUAGGGGUAGAGGGAAUUUCCAGUGUAGCGGUGAAAUGCGUAGAUAUUGGAAAGAACACCGGUGGCGAAAGCGCUCUACUGGGCCUGCACUGACACUGAGGGACGAAAGCUAGGGGAGCGAAAGGGAUUAGAUACCCCUGUAGUCCUAGCCGUAAACGAUGGAUACUAGGCGUUGCCCG